rnacentral:rRNA from 1 species
GAGUAAUGUCUGGGAAACUGCCUGAUGGAGGGGGAUAACUACUGGAAACGGUGGCUAAUACCGCAUAACGUCGCAAGACCAAAGAGGGGGACCUUCGGGCCUCUUGCCAUCAGAUGUGCCCAGAUGGGAUUAGCUUGUUGGUGAGGUAACGGCUCACCAAGGCGACGAUCCCUAGCUGGUCUGAGAGGAUGACCAGCCACACUGGAACUGAGACACGGUCCAGACUCCUACGGGAGGCAGCAGUGGGGAAUAUUGCACAAUGGGCGCAAGCCUGAUGCAGCCAUGCCGCGUGUAUGAAGAAGGCCUUCGGGUUGUAAAGUACUUUCAGCGGGGAGGAAGGUGUUGUGGUUAAUAACCGCAGCAAUUGACGUUACCCGCAGAAGAAGCACCGGCUAACUCCGUGCCAGCAGCCGCGGUAAUACGGAGGGUGCAAGCGUUAAUCGGAAUUACUGGGCGUAAAGCGCACGCAG